rnacentral:pre_miRNA from 1 species
UGUAACUUUAGAAAGAGUUUUAUACAUAAAGACAGGGUACGGGAAAACCCAUGAAAGAUGUGUUGUGCCGUCCCCUGUCUUUAUGUAUAAAACGUUUUCUAAAGUUACAAAGAAUGU